rnacentral:rRNA from 1 species
UAGGGAAUCUUCCGCAAUGGGCGAAAGCCUGACGGAGCAACGUCGCGUGAGUGAUGAAGGUCUUCGGAUCGUAAAACUCUGUUAUUAGGGAAGAACAAAUGUGUAAGUAACUAUGCACGUCUUGACGGUACCUAAUCAGAAAGCCACGGCUAACUACGUGCCAGCAGCCGCGGUAAUACGUAGGUGGCAAGCGUUAUCCGGAAUUAUUGGGCGUAAAGCGCGCGUAGGCGGUUGUUUAAGUCUGAUGUGAAAGCCCACGGCUCAACCGUGGAGGGUCAUUAGAAACUGGAAAACGUGAGUGCAGAAGAGGAAAGUGGAAUUCCAUGUGUAGCGGUGAAAUGCGCAGAGAUAUGGAUGAACACCAGUGGCGAAGGCGACUUUCUGGUCUGUAACUGACGCUGAUGUGCGAAAGCGUGGGGAUCAAACAGG